rnacentral:lncRNA from 1 species
CCCGGAAGGGCCGCCCACAGACAUCCUUUUGGCUGAGUUCUGCUGCCUGAAAACUUCUGUCAAAACACAGAAUCGUUUCUGGAAGUGAGACGAUUGAACUGGUUUCUUGCCAACAGGUGUCCCAGAAGGAGCGUUCGCAGCUCCCUGGAGGCGGGAACGGAGUCCCCCGGGGAGAGAGUGGUCCAGGGUUUGCCCUCAGGCGUCCACACUGUCCGCCGGCGAGGCUGGUCCUGUUCCCAGCACCCACGCUGCUAGAGCCACCGGAUCUCCCAGGAGGAGACCCAGCUGCACUCAGAAGAAUCACGCUGGCCUAGGAGAUGGACGGCGGCGUGCGGGAGGGUGAGUCUGCUGACUUUUGCCUGCAAACCCUGAGAUGCGGUGACAUAAAAAGUGAGAAAAUCGCCAUUCCCUCUCAGCAGCGCAGGUGAGCUUGAGAACCGCCUGCCCCCACGGGGCCGCAGCGCCCGACCCGUCUGGACCGUGUGCGGCUGCAAAGCUGAGCUGUCGUCUUGCCUGUGGCUUCCGAAAUGCAGCCCUGGGCCCUGUGAUCGCUGCAUUUUCUCUGCGCAGCUUUGAGGGACGGAGUGUGCUGACCAACAGAAGAAAGGCAAACAGCAGAAACUGACACUGUGGUGGCCACUGGACGUGGCCUCGGUCGGCUGC